rnacentral:rRNA from 1 species
GAUGAACGCUAGCGGCAGGCCUAACACAUGCAAGUCGAACGGUAACAGGGAUUGCUUGCAAUCCGCUGACGAGUGGCGCACGGGUGCGUAACGCGUAUGCAAUCUACCUUUUACAGAGGGAUAGCCCAGAGAAAUUUGGAUUAAUAUCUCAUAGUAUUAUUUUGCGGCAUCGUAUAAUAAUUAAAGAUUUAUCGGUAAGAGAUGAGCAUGCGUUCUAUUAGCUAGUAGGUGUGGUAACGGCACACCUAGGCGACGAUAGAUAGGGGUCCUGAGAGGGAGAUCCCCCACACUGGUACUGAGACACGGACCAGACUCCUACGGGAGGCAGCAGUGAGGAAUAUUGGUCAAUGGACGCAAGUCUGAACCAGCCAUGCCGCGUGCAGGAAGACUGCCCUAUGGGUUGUAAACUGCUUUUAAACGGGAAGAAACCCCUGCUCGUGAGCGGGGCUGA